rnacentral:rRNA from 1 species
UGAGGAAUAUUGGUCAAUGGGCGAAAGUCUGAACCAGCCAAGUAGCGUGCAGGAUGACGGCCCUAUGGGUUGUAAACUGCUUUUAUGCGGGAAUAAAGUGAGGCACGUGUGCCUUUUUGUAUGUACCGUAUGAAUAAGGACCGGCUAAUUCCGUG